rnacentral:tRNA from 1 species
UGGGGUCUUAGCUCAGCUGGGAGAGCAUCUGCCUUACAAGCAGAGGGUCACAGGUUCGAGCCCUGUAGGCCCCAUC